UCCGGAUUUAUUGGGCGUAAAGGGAGCGCAGGCGGUUUAGUAAGUCUGAAGUUAAAGGCAUUGGCUCAACCAAUGUAUGCUUUGGAAACUGUUAGACUUGAGUGCAGAAGGGGAGAGUGGAANUUCCAUGUGUAGCGGUGAAAUGCGUAGAUAUAUGGAGGAACACCGGUGGCGAAAGCGGCUCUCUGGUCUGUCACUGACGCUGAGGCUCGAAAGCGUGGGUAGCGAACAGGAUUAGAUACCCUGGUAGUCCACGCCGUAAACGCUGAGUGCUAGGUGUUAGGUCCUUUCCGGGACUUAGUGCCGACGCUAACGCAUUAAGCACUCCGCCUGGGGAGUACGACCGCAAGGUUGAAACUCAAAGGAAUUGACGGGGGCCCGCACAAGCGGUGGAGCAUGUGGUUUAAUUCGAAGCAACGCGAAGAACCUUACCAGGUCUUGACAUCCCGAUGCCCGCUCUAGAGAUAGAGUUUUUCUUCGGAACAUCGGAGACAGGUGGUGCAUGGUUGUCGUCAGCUCGUGUCGUGAGAUGUUGGGUUAAGUCCCGCAACGAGCGCAACCCUUAUUGUUAGUUGCCAUCAUUAAGUUGGGCACUCUAGCGAGACUGCCGGUAAUAAACCGGAGGAAGGUGGGGAUGACGUCAAAUCAUCAUGCCCCUUAUGACCUGGGCUACACACGUGCUACAAUGGUUGGUACAACGAGUCGCAAGCCGGUGACGGCAAGCUAAUC
rnacentral:rRNA from 1 species